rnacentral:rRNA from 1 species
UGACAUUCAAUGCACUUUCCAGAGAUGGAUUGGUGCCUUCGGGAACAUUGAGACAGGUGCUGCAUGGCUGUCGUCAGCUUGUGUCGUGAGAUGUUGGGUUAAGUCCCGUAACGAGCGCAACCCUUGUCCUUAGUUACCAGCACGUAAUGGUGGGCACUCUAAGGAGACUGCCGGUGACAAACCGGAGGAAGGUGGGGAUGACGUCAAGUCAUCAUGGCCCUUACGGCCUGGGCUACACACGUGCUACAAUGGUCGGUACAAAGGGUUGCCAAGCCGCGAGGUGGAGCUAAUCCCAUAAAACCGAUUGUAGUCCGGAUCGCAGUCUGCAACUUGACUGCGUGAAGUCGGAAUCGCUAGUAAUCGUGAAUCAGAAUGUCACGGUGAAUACGUUCCCGGGCCUUGUACACACCGCCCGUCACACCAUGGGAGUGGGUUGCACCAGAAGUAGCUAGUCUAACCUUCUGGGAGGACGGUAC